UACGUAGGGCGCAAGCGUUGUCCGGAAUUAUUGGGCGUAAAGGGCUCGUAGGCGGUCUGUUGCGUCGGGAGUGAAAACUCAGGGCUUAACCCUGAGCCUGCUUCCGAUACGGGCAGACUAGAGGUAUGCAGGGGAGAACGGAAUUCCUGGUGUAGCGGUGAAAUGCGCAGAUAUCAGGAGGAACACCGGUGGCGAAGGCGGCAUUCUGGACCGAAACUGACGCUGAGGCGCGAAAGCCAGGGGAGCAAACGGG
rnacentral:rRNA from 1 species